GUGCCAUGGCUUAGCUGGUUAAAGCACCUGCCUUGUAAGUAGGAGAGCCUGGGUUCAAAUCCCAGGGUACG
rnacentral:tRNA from 1 species